rnacentral:rRNA from 1 species
GACGAACGCUGGCGGCGUGCUUAACACAUGCAAGUCGAACGGAAAGACCCUGCUUUUGUGGGGUGCUCGAGUGGCGAACGGGUGAGUAACACGUGAGUAACCUGCCCUUGACUUUGGGAUAACUUCAGGAAACUGGGGCUAAUACCGGAUCGGAGCUCCUGCUGCAUGGUGGGGGUUGGAAAGUUUCGGCGGUUGGGGAUGGACUCGCGGCUUAUCAGCUUGUUGGUGGGGUAGUGGCUUACCAAGGCUUUGACGGGUAGCCGGCCUGAGAGGGUGACCGGCCACAUUGGGACUGAGAUACGGCCCAGACUCCUACGGGAGGCAGCAGUGGGGAAUAUUGCACAAUGGGCGGAAGCCUGAUGCAGCAACGCCGCGUGCGGGAUGACGGCCUUCGGGUUGUAAACCGCUUUCGCCUGUGACGAAGCGUGAGUGACGGUAAUGGGUAAAGAAGCACCGGCUAACUACGUG